GGAGGAAAAGAAACUAACAAGGAUUCCCCCAGUAACGGCGAGUGAAGCGGGAAGAGCUCAAGCUUAAAAUCUCCAUACUUGUAUGGCGAAUUGUAGUCUAUUGAGGCUGUUGUCAGCAUCGCGAUCGGGGACAAGUCCCUUGGAAAAGGGCAGCAUGGAGGGUGAUACUCCCGUCUCUGCUCCGAUUUGCGGUGUGUACGAUACGCUUUCUUUGAGUCGAGUUGUUUGGGAAUACAGCUCAAAGUAGGUGGUAAAUUCCAUCUAAAGCUAAAUAUUGGUGCGAGACCGAUAGCGAACAAGUACCGUGAGGGAAAGAUGAAAAGAACUUUGAAAAGAGAGUUAAAGAGUACCUGAAACUGUUGAAAGGGAACCGUAUCGUUUCCAGUGUUUUAUCCUGUGCAUAUUUCAUUCGCGGAGCAAUUUGCGGGUGCCCUGUGCAUGGGUGUGACGUCAGAGUCAGUUUGUAUGCUGCGGGAGAUGGUCAGUGAGGAGGUGCGUCACUUCGGUGAAAGUUAUAUCUCGCUGUCUAGUAGCCGUGGUUGAGACUGAGGUGCCUACAACAUGCCUUGGGGUUUCGUGUUGUCUCGUGUUAAUAACUGCUUUGAUAGCUUGCUAUGUCUGUGGUUUAUUGAUGCGAUUGAUGAUGCGGAUAACCUCUGCUGUUCGGGACUCUGGCGAAAUGGAGCGAUA
rnacentral:rRNA from 1 species